rnacentral:lncRNA from 1 species
AUAUUAUUUGCCCCAGCAGAAUUAGAUCUUCUGGAUUUUUAAGUGAUUAAGAUUCCUUCCCUAUAUGUUCAUUCACUGACAGUAGGUACUAUUCAACAAUGAUCCUCUGGUAUCUGCAAGUUCAUCACCACAGGAGCACAUAAUAAGGUACCAAAGAUUCAAAACAUUACAAGAAAAGACAGGAAGCAAAAGAAUAUCAGGUGAUGCUCCACUUGAUUCAGGAAGUAAUAAAAUACCUUUUUCAGCCUUUUGGCUAAGAUCAAGUGUCAUUCAGGGAGUCAAGUUAGAAGAGUUUAAAACCAUGAAAAUGAUCUUGGUCUCACAUACGUGCAUAGAUAUAUGUAAUACAAUUACAGGAAAAUUACUUUAGUCACAAAACAAAGGAAAAGUAAAAUCAAUGGAGGAACUGUGUAUAAAUUGCUUAAAUGACAAUGAUUUUGUUUUGCAUGUAAUUUCAGUCUCAGGAAAUUACAUUGUACAAGUCAAUACAUGACAAUCUUAACAAAUAAUUUGAUAAACCAAAUAUACCUUUAGCAGCUCAUGACUUGCACAGAGCAUUCCAACUCUAGUUCAUGCACAUCAUGGUAAAAAUAUUCUGCUUUUAUCCACAAGUUGAACUAACCAAUGAUUAUAGUUUACCUUUUGCAAACCUGUGCUAUCCAUCAUCCUGACCAGUAACAAUUAUGGACUUUGGCAUGGUCAUGGGCAUAUCAGUUAUC